rnacentral:rRNA from 1 species
AGUGAACGCUGGCGGUAGGCCUAACACAUGCAAGUCGAACGGCAGCACAGUAAGAGCUUGCUCUUACGGGUGGCGAGUGGCGGACGGGUGAGGAAUACAUCGGAAUCUACUUUUUCGUGGGGGAUAACGUAGGGAAACUUACGCUAAUACCGCAUACGACCUACGGGUGAAAGCAGGGGAUCUUCGGUCCUUGCGCGAUUGAAUGAGCCGAUGUCGGAUUAGCUAGUUGGCGGGGUAAAGGCCCACCAAGGCGACGAUCCGUAGCUGGUCUGAGAGGAUGAUCAGCCACACUGGAACUGAGACACGGUCCAGACUCCUACGGGAGGCAGCAGUGGGGAAUAUUGGACAAAGGGCGCAAGCCUGAUCCAGCCAUACCGCGUGGGUGAAGAAGGCCUUCGGGUUGUAAAGCCCUUUUGUUGGGAAAGAAAAGCAGCAGGUUAAUACCCCGCUGUUCUGACGGUACCCAAAGAAUAAGCACCGGCUAACUUCGUG